UACGUAGGGUGCAAGCGUUAAUCGGAAUUACUGGGCGUAAAGAGUGCGCAGGCGGUUGUGCAAGACCGAUGUGAAAUCCCCGGGCUUAACCUGGGAAUGGCAUUGGUGACUGCACGGCUAGAGUGUGUCAGAGGGGGGUAGAAUUCCACGUGUAGCAGUGAAAUGCGUAGAGAUGUGGAGGAAUACCGAUGGCGAAGGCAGCCCCCUGGGAUAACACUGACGCUCAUGCACGAAAGCGUGGGGAGCAAACAGG
rnacentral:rRNA from 1 species